rnacentral:rRNA from 1 species
AUACGUAGGGGGCGAGCGUUGUCCGGAAUGAUUGGGCGUAAAGGGCGCGUAGGCGGCCCGGUAAGUCUGGAGUGAAAGUCCUGCUUUUAAGGUGGGAAUUGCUUUGGAUACUGUCGGGCUUGAGUGCAGGAGAGGUAAGUGGAAUUCCCAGUGUAGCGGUGAAAUGCGUAGAGAUUGGGAGGAACACCAGUGGCGAAGGCGGUUUGCUGGCUGCAUACUGACGCUGAAGCGCGAAAGCCAGGGGAGCAAACGGGAUUAGAUACCCCGGUAGUCCUGGCAGUAAACGAUGUAUGCUGGGUGUGAGACUAGCGAUAGUUUCGUGCCGAAGUUAACGCGAUAAGCAUACCGCCUGGGGAGUACGGUCGCAAGAUUGAAACUCAAAUGAAUUGGCGGGG